UACAGAGGGUGCAAACGGUGCUCGGAAUUAUUGGGCGGAAAGCGCGUGUAGGCGGCUUGUUAAGGUGGUUGUGAAAACCCAUGGCUCAACCAUGGAAGGGCGUCCAAAACUGGCAAGCUAGAGUCCCGACGAGGAUGGCGGAAUUCCCAGUGUAGAGGUGAAAUUCGUAGAUAUUGGGAGGAACACCGGUGGCGAAGGCGGCCAUCUGGGAGGGCACUGACGCUGAGACGCGAAAGCGUGGGGAGCAAACAGG
rnacentral:rRNA from 1 species